CAAAGGCAAUGGGAAAGAUGGGAAGUGAAAAGGUGUCAAAAGACCCUAAUAAACCAAACAGACAACUUAAUGGUUUCUUCGUUUAGUGCGAAAGGGAGUAUGUGGUUGGUUUUAAACAAUGCUCUGUUGAGGAAAGAGGAGCAUCUUCCAUUGGAAGAGGUUGAGAAGAUCCUUGAUGCUGUAAUUUGAUGAAUUUGAUGAGUCUCAUGGCUUUGAGGAUGAGUCUGCAUGUUAAAUAAGAUGGCUGCCCAUGCCAGUUAACUAGAGCUAUUGAUUAGGACUAAUAGGGCAUUAGAUAUUUUGGUUGUGUACAUAUAAGCAUUUCAUAUUUUGGGUUAUGAUGUAGAUGUGUGGAUUAAGAUGUUUUCAUCUUCUGUAUGGAAUGCUUUGUGCAUUUUUAUUGGGCUUAUUUCUCAUGUAAUUGAUUAAGUG